ACGGGUAGAGAGAAAAACGGAGCGGCGGCUGCGUGCGGGCGGAGGGAACGAUGAACAGGUUCUUUCCUCUCUCUUUUUUUAGCCUACGGGGUGGCGUCGCUUGAUUUAGGACUUGGAGUGGAACUUUCGGAAAGGGAACCCACAGAACAAGGAGAACACAGGAAGAUAAGGAUUUCUUUCCUGCAGCUCUGAUAAACUAGAUCGGGGCU
rnacentral:lncRNA from 1 species